ACUCCUACGGGAGGCAGCAGUGGGGAAUAUUGCACAAUGGGCGCAAGCCUGAUGCAGCCAUGCCGCGUGUAUGAAGAAGGCCUUCGGGUUGUAAAGUACUUUCAGCAGUGAGGAAGGUGGGUAUGUUAAUAGCAUACUCAUUUGACGUUAGCUGCAGAAGAAGCACCGGCUAACUCCGUGCCAGCAGCCGCGGUAAUACGGAGGGUGCGAGCGUUAAUCGGAAUUACUGGGCGUAAAGCGCAUGCAGGUGGUUUGUUAAGUCAGAUGUGAAAGCCCGGGGCUCAACCUCGGAAUUGCAUUUGAAACUGGCAAACUAGAGUACUGUAGAGGGGGGUAGAAUUUCAGGUGUAGCGGUGAAAUGCGUAGAGAUCUGAAGGAUACCGGUGGCGAAGGCGGCCCCCUGGACAGAUACUGACACUCAGAUGCGAAAGCGUGGGGAGCAAACAGGAUUAGAUACCCCUGGUAGGCGUAG
rnacentral:rRNA from 1 species